rnacentral:rRNA from 1 species
GAUGAACGCUGGCGGCGUGCCUAAUACAUGCAAGUCGAGCGAACGGACGAGAAGCUUGCUUCUCUGAUGUUAGCGGCGGACGGGUGAGUAACACGUGGAUAACCUACCUAUAAGACUGGGAUAACUUCGGGAAACCGGAGCUAAUACCGGAUAAUAUUUUGAACCGCAUGGUUCAAAAGUGAAAGACGGUCUUGCUGUCACUUAUAGAUGGAUCCGCGCUGCAUUAGCUAGUUGGUAAGGUAACGGCUUACCAAGGCAACGAUGCAUAGCCGACCUGAGAGGGUGAUCGGCCACACUGGAACUGAGACACGGUCCAGACUCCUACGGGAGGCAGCAGUAGGGAAUCUUCCGCAAUGGGCGAAAGCCUGACGGAGCAACGCCGCGUGAGUGAUGAAGGUCUUCGGAUCGUAAAACUCUGUUAUUAGGGAAGAACAUAUGUGUAAGUAACUGUGCACAUCUUGACGGUACCUAAUCAGAAAGCCACGGUUAACUACGUG